rnacentral:rRNA from 4 species
UUGACCUCGGAUCAGGUAGGGAUACCCGCUGAACUUAAGCAUAUCAAUAAGCCGGAGGA